GCCUGGUUAGCUCAAUCGGUAGAGCGUUUGACUCUUAAUUUGAUAGCAAUCAAAAGGCUGCGGGUUCGAGCCCCGCAUCGGGCU
rfam:Pichia membranifaciens DNA, contig: CON097, strain: KS47-1.